GAUAGUGAACCAGUACCGUGAGGGAAAGGCGAAAAGAACCCCGGCGAGGGGAGUGAAAAAGAACCUGAAACCGUGUACGUACAAGCAGUGGGAGCCCCACCACUAAGCCAGUGGUGAACUCCACAUCCGCAUCCUUUGCUGAGGAUACGGUUAACGGAGCGAAAGCGACGUUCAACCGCAAAACAAGCAGAGGGGGCUUAGUGGUGGGGUGACUGCGUACCUUUUGUAUAAUGGGUCAGCGACUUAUAUUCUGUAGCAAGGUUAACCGAAUAGGGGAGCCGGAGGGAAACCGAGUCUUAAUUGGGCGUUAAGUUGCAGGGUAUAGACCCGAAACCCGGUGAUCUAGCCAUGGGCAGGUUGAAGGUUGGGUAACACUAACUGGAGGACCGAACCGACUAAUGUUGAAAAAUUAGCGGAUGACCUGUGGCUGGGGGUGAAAGGCCAAUCAAACCGGGAGAUAGCUGGUUCUCCCCGAAAGCUAUUUAGGUAGCGCCUCGUGAAUUCAUCUCCGGGGGUAGAGCACUGUUUCGGCUAGGGGGCCAUCCCGGCUUACCAACCCGAUGCAAACUGCGAAUACCGGAGAAUGUUAUCACGGGAGACACACGGCGGGUGCUAACGUCCGUCGUGAAGAGGGAAACAACCCAGACCGCCAGCUAAGGUCCCAAAGUCAUGGUUAAGUGGGAAACGAUGUGGGAAGGCCCAGACAGCCAGGAUGUUGGCUUAGAAGCAGCCAUCAUUUAAAGAAAGCGUAAUAGCUCACUGGUCGAGUCGGCCUGCGCGGAAGAUGUAACGGGGCUAAACCAUGCACCGAAGCUGCGGCAGCGAACGUAUCACCCAAGACAACUUUACGGAGUUGACGAUUGACGGAGCGAAGCGACGUCAAAGCGUUCAUUAAAGUCGAGUUGGCUUAGGGAUACGUUCGUUGGGUAGGGGAGCGUUCUGUAAGCCUGUGAAGGUGUGUCGUGAGGCAUGCUGGAGGUAUCAGAAGUGCGAAUGCUGACAUAAGUAACGAUAAAGCGGGUGAAAAGCCCGCUCGCCGGAAGACCAAGGGUUCCUGUCCAACGUUAAUCGGGGCAGGGUGAGUCGACCCCUAAGGCGAGGCCGAAAGGCGUAGUCGAUGGGAAACGGGUUAAUAUUCCCGUACUUGGUGUUACUGCGAAGGGGGGACGGAGAAGGCUAUGUUGGCCGGGCGACGGUUGUCCCGGUUUAAGCGUGUAGGUGUGUGUUCCAGGUAAAUCCGGUU
rnacentral:rRNA from 1 species